GAGGGUAUAGCUCAGUGGUAGAGUACAUGCCUAGUGUGCAUGAAGUCCUGGGUUCAAUUCCCAGUAUCUCUG